rnacentral:rRNA from 1 species
AGAAUCAACGCUGGCGGCGUGCCUAACACAUGCAAGUCGCACGAGAAAGGGGAGCAAUCCCUGAGUACAGUGGCGCACGGGUGAGUAACACGUGAAUAAUCUACCUCCGAGUGGGGAAUAACUGAGAGAAAUCUUAGCUAAUACCGCAUAACACUUACGAGUCAAAGCAGCAAUGCGCUUGGAGAGGAGUUCGCGGCCGAUUAGUUAGUUGGCGGGGUAAUGGCCCACCAAGACGAUGAUCGGUAUCCGGCCUGAGAGGGCGCACGGACACACUGGAACUGAAACACGGUCCAGACUCCUACGGAGGCAGCAGUGGGGAAUUUUGCGCAAUGGGGGAAACCCUGACGCAGCAACGCCGCGUGGAGGAUGAAGCCCCUUGGGGUGUAAACUCCUUUCGAUCGGGAAGAUAAUGACGGUACCGAUAUAAGAAGCCCCGGCUAACUUCGCGCCAGCAGCCGC